UCCUGGUCCUGUGGUAGUGGGUUAUCAGAACUUAUUAACAUUAGUGUCACUAAAGUUGGUAUACAACCCUUCACUGUUAAAAUUUGAUUGGCUAAA
rnacentral:Y_RNA from 1 species